CAAGCCUGAUGCAGCCAUGCCGCGUGUAUGAAGAAGGCCUUCGGGUUGUAAAGUACUUUCAGCGGGGAGGAAGGUGUUGUGGUUAAUAACCGCAGCAAUUGACGUUACCCGCAGAAGAAGCACCGGCUAACUUCGUGCCAGCAGCCGCGGUAAUACGAAGGGGGCUAGCGUUGUUCGGAAUUACUGGGCGUAAAGCGCACGUAGGCGGAUAUUUAAGUCAGGGGUGAAAUCCCAGAGCUCAACUCUGGAACUGCCUUUGAUACUGGGUAUCUUGAGUAUGGAAGAGGUAAGUGGAAUUCCGAGUGUAGAGGUGAAAUUCGUAGAUAUUCGGAGGAACACCAGUGGCGAAGGCGGCUUACUGGUCCAUUACUGACGCUGAGGUGCGAAAGCGUGGGGAGCAAACA
rnacentral:rRNA from 1 species